rnacentral:sRNA from 1 species
UAUCAACAGCAUUAUCAGAAGGUUUCAUAAGUUAUUGCAGGAUACAACAAAGCAACUCUUGUAAGACAAGUUUCAGAGCAAGAGAGGAUAAAAAGGGAAAAGAAGGAAGCGUAGCAUCGUUUACUAUUUCUCUGAUUCUAUUCGGUUCUCUCGGUGUCGGUGGACCGAUGAACGAAGGACAGACAGAAGAUUGAGAGCGGAUUUGAGCUAUUGUUACUUAUGAGAUUGCAUGUGGGAUCGAAUAGAUGGGGAAGUAGAGGAGAACCAUGGGGGCUGUCAGACCUUGCCUCGUUACCGGUUGUUACGAUUGCGUGCAACAGUCACUUUUGCGUGUGUGGAUUAGUGGCGGGCGGCGCAAGAGUCGAGAAGUCCGUUGAGAGGAUAAAAGGAGGAUUUCUAGGAACGAAAUGAACCUCCGAUAAUUCAUCAGAU